rnacentral:rRNA from 1 species
AGAAUCAACGCUGGCGGCGUGCCUAACACAUGCAAGUCGAACGCGAAAGUGGAGCAAUCCAUUAGUAGAGUGGCAAACGGGUGAGUAACACGUGGGCGACCUACCUCAGAGUGGGGGAUAACCCUCCGAAAGGAGGGCUAAUACCGCAUGACAUCCCGUGUUUGGAUACACGGAGAUCAAAGCCGGGGAUCGCAAGACCUGGCGCUUGGAGAGGGGCCCGCGUCCGAUUAGCUAGUUGGUGAGGUAACGGCUCACCAAGGCUCCGAU